GGUGUUGUAGCUCAGCGGUAGAGCGCUUGAUGGAUAAUCAAGAGGUCGCCAGUCCGAAUCUGGUCAGCUCCACUA
rnacentral:tRNA from 1 species